AGUGAACGCUGGCGGCAGGCCUAAUACAUGCAAGUCGAACGGCAGCACAGCAGAGCUUGCUCUGUGGGUGGCGAGUGGCGGACGGGUGAGGAAUACAUGGGAAUCUGCCCAGUCGUGGGGGAUAACGUAUGGAAACGUACGCUAAUACCGCAUGCGCCCUAAGGGGGAAAGCCGGGGACCGCAAGGCCUGGCGCGAUUGGAUGAGCCCAUGUUCGAUUAGCUAGUUGGCGGGGUAAAGGCCCACCAAGGCGACGAUCGAUAGCUGGUCUGAGAGGAUGAUCAGCCACACUGGAACUGAGACACGGUCCAGACUCCUACGGGAGGCAGCAGUAGGGAAUAUUGGACAAUGGGGGCAACCCUGAUCCAGCCAUGCCGCGUGAGUGAAGAAGGCCCUCGGGUUGUAAAGCUCUUUUGUCCGGAAAGAAAAGCAAUCGGUUAAUACCCGGUUGUUCUGACGGUACCGGAAGGAAUAAGCACCGGCUAACUUCGUGCC
rnacentral:rRNA from 1 species